rnacentral:lncRNA from 1 species
GGGCAGAAGACAACUUGGCAUACCAUUGUCUGGAAGCCUGUCUGAGCCCAUAUAUGGAUUUGUUUAAUUUGCAAACAAGGGGAGCAGGAGAGGCGGAUGGGGCAGGAGCAGAAACAGUUAAUCCUGGAGGAAGUUUCAUAUACACCUCCUCAUCUGAAUCACCAUGCAAGAAAGCAUUAUUAACAUCAAGUUGAAAUAAAUUCCAAUGUUUUUUCACAGCCACAACAAUAAGACACUUAACUGUGCACAUUUUAACCACAGGAGAAAAGGUGUCAGUGAAGUCAAUGCCUUCAACCUGAGUAUCACCUCUAAUGACAAGCCUGGUUUUAUUCCUUUCAACACAACAAUCAGCCUUUUAUUUUAUUUUAUAAACCCAUUUACAGCCAAUGGGUUUCUUACCAGGAGGAAGAGGAAUAACAUCCCAAGUAUGGUUAGUGUCCAAAACAUCAAACUCCUGUCUCAUGGCAGCUUGCCAUGCUGGAACAGAUGCAGCCUGAGAGUAAUAAAGAGGCUCAGAUUCUAAAGAGGAGGAAGAUGAAUCAGAGAAGGCAGGUAGUUGACAGACAUAAUCCAUAAGAUAGGAAGGAGAAUUAUGCUGUCUUUGAGACUUUCUGGGAGCAGGAACAGAAGGAGAAGAAGCCAAAACAGGAGGUGAGAUGUCAGGAUUGAAAGAAGAAAGGAAGGCAGAGUCAGUAGAGGCAGGGACAGUAUAAGGCACCUGCACAGGUGUGGGAGAAGAGGGAGGAGAGAGAAGUAUGGGAGAAUCAGAAUCAUCAUCAUGUUCUCCAGAAGUAACAAAGGGAAAGAUGAAGCAGAGGGAUGAGCAGAAGAAGACACAGUUUUAAAAGGAAAACAUGAUUUAUGAAAUAUGACAUCCCUUGAGACCAGAUAAUUUUUUGAAGCAAGAUCAUAUAAUCUAUAACCCUUUUUGCCAAAAGGAUAUCCCAGGAAAACACAAGGAAUGACUCUAGGCUUUAAUUUGUCCCUUUGAGGGAUGGGGACAGUGGCAUAAGCAAGGCAACCAAAAGUCCUCAAGUGAGUAUAGGUUGGAACUUUCCCAUACAAGAUUUCAUGAGGAGACUUAUUAUGAAGUAAUCUGGUGGGUAUUCUGUUAAGUAGAUAGGUAGNNNNNNNNNNNNNNNNNNNNNNNNNNNNNNNNNNNNNNNNNNNNNNNGGUGGGUAUUCUGUUUAGUAGGUAGGUGGCAGUCAACAAACAAUCCCCCCAGAAAGAUACAGGCAUGCCAGAUUGAAAAAGCAAAGCCCUACAAGUUUCAGGGACGGUCCUAUGCUUCCUCUCAACAACACCAUUCUGGUGAGGGGUAUGAGAGCAGGAGGUUUGAUGUAUGAUCCCCUGGCUGCUAAAAAAGGAAACACCCUCAAUGCUAGAUCCCAAUUCUAAGGCAUUGUCACUUCUAAUAGUUUGAACCACAGCAUUGAAUUGGAUUUUAACUAGAGAAAGAAAUGACUUAAGCAUAGAAAAAGCAUUGCUUUUGGAUCCCAUUAAAUGUUUCCAUGUUGCCCUAGAAAAAUCAUCAACAAUUGUAAGAAAAUAUCUACAACUAGAAGAGGUUGGAGUAUGAUAAGGUCCCCAAGUGUCCACAUGAAUAAGUUGAAAGGGUCUAGAUGUCUUAAUGGAACUAUCAGGAAAUGGAAGCCUAGUCUGUCUUGCCAUAGGACAGACUGAACAUAUGUAACUGCUUCACUAACUUGUGGACAGAAAUCAAGUUGUGUUUAAAAGAAGGAACUAGCAAUACAUUGUGAAGAGUGAUGGAAGGAGUCAAUGUAAAAGAUCCUGUGCAUGUUACUUUUACUUUAUAGCCAUUAGGAAGAGUGACAAGAUAUGGCAAAGUUAAAGGUGUGAUGUUAAAAAGUAACUGUUUAUCAUGUGUCAUGUGAUUAGAGGCACCUGAAUCUAUAAUCCAGGUGACAG